UACGGGGGGGGUAAGCGUUGUUCGGAAUUACUGGGCGUAAAGGGCUCGUAGGCGGCCAACUAAGUCAUACGUGAAAUCCCUCAGCUUAACUGGGGAACUGCGUGUGAUACUGGAUGGCUUGGAUUUGGGAGAGGGAUGCGGAAUUCCAGGUGUAGCGGUGAAAUGCGUAGAUAUCUGGAGGAACACCGGUGGCGAAGGCGGCAUCCUGGACCGAGAUCGACGCUGAGGCGCGAAAGCUAGGGGAGCAAACGGG
rnacentral:rRNA from 1 species